UAGGUAUGUAAUUCAAAUUCCUAUUUAAUUUUAGGAAUAUUUUGGCACGUUAAUAUUGUUUGAGUAUAUAUUUUCUCUGGCUUCAUAGUGCGGGCAUGAAUAAGCCGUUUUCCCCGUCACCACACAUCCAAAUCCAUCUUUAUGAUCUUACAAACUGCUAUAAACCUCCAAAAGUUUGAUAUCCGUAGUUACCUAGCUAGGUUCUUAAAAUUGGAUUGUAGUAAAGUUAUUAUUAUUAUUAUUAUUAUUUUAUUUUUUUCUGACAGCAAACAUUCGGAAUUGUAGUAAAGUUAUUAAUUAAUUAAUUUAUUCAAAAUCAGAAGAUGCCACCAUUUUAUUUCUACAAAACCGCGUUUUUGUAGAAAAGAAAGAAGGCGACGAGGUUGACACUUCAAAUGAAUCCGGGUGAAUCAAUUCAGUAUACAAAUGUGAUUUUGUGUGCUUCGAUCUAUAAAUACAGUUAUGGUCGAUGACACUUGAGAGAAUAACAAAGUGACAAUGAAGAAAACAACACAAGUGUUUCUUCUUCUUUUACGUUUGAUGCUUCUUAUAUGCCUAGUCUUUCAGGUUCGUGUCACAGAGGCUAGAUUCCGCCACCUAGGCGAGGAACGGAUUGGCGCAAUACCCUCCAUUCCAUGUGGAGCUGCUCCUAGAAGAAGUGAAGUUACAGGACUAAUGAACAGGCUCUGUAGGAUUUCAAGACCUCCGGGUGUUAAUUAGUAAUCUCCGUCCAAGAGAUAGCAACGUUUGAAUAUGAACCACGAAUAAAAUCUCUACUGUUCAGAAGUUUUUUUUUCUCUUUCAUUCAUUCCAAAUAAUUGUUUCACGUUUUGCUAAAGACUAUCGUUCCAAAUAAUUGUUUCACGUUUUGUUAAAGACUCUCGCUUAGCUGAGAUACAUUUUCUAUUUUCUCCUCAAAAUCAUGUUUUAUGUGUGUACAUGGUAAAGUUAACGUUUACAGUAAUGAUUUCGCAAGCA